UUAUGCUGGGGUUUGAUGAAGAAUGGACAGCUGUGUAGGCCUGCAACUGGAUAAAAAGGACUGGAGUGUGUGCCAGAGGGCGUGCCAAGCUACAAGACAAUCACCUUCGAUUUCCCUGGAGAGUCAAUUUGACCAUAAGGAAUGACCGAAGGAUUGGGGAAGAAAAUACUCCCCCUGCUGAUGCUCCUUUGGUUCUACUUGGGAGUGAAGCUCACAAGAGGAGGGACUGCAAUAAACGUUCCCCAGAUGAUGCAGAGGUCUCUCUCUGCUGACAGUUAAUACCUUGCCUCCAAGCCUGAAUCGCCUUCCUGUCUGCGGGGUGUCUGAACGAACACAGCAAGAUGUGCAGGUCACUGAGUUAGAAGAAGUCGGCAGGGCCUAAGGCCUUCUGCAAGGUGUGACUCUCUCCCUCCAUACUGAGAACAUUUUGAAGUGACUUCAGAGGCUGCAGGGCUUGGGAAGUCCCAUGAGAACCGCUCCCCUUUCCCAAGGCACCGACAUGGCCUGUAGCCAGGCAUUGCUGUUUCUCAGCAGACUGAUCCAGGCCAGGCUUUCUGCUCUCCCUGCUGGAGGACCGCCAUCCUUAUUGAAUGUAUUUCCAAGAAAGCAGUUGACGGGCUUGGCUGUGCUAUUUCUGGAAAUGUUCAAUAGGCCAUCUUCUGGCAGGGACCGCUGCUGAUGGAUGGGUCUGAAGGGGAGACCGAGUGCUCAGCGCCAUCUCGGCCCCGGCCUAUUCCCAGGUGUCUCUGAGCAACAGCCGUCCCCAAAUACCACGGGCCGGCAGCUGGCGGGGGCUGUGGGCCUCUGUGGAACUUGCUUCCUCCCUGGCAGGGAAGCUGCCAGCAGGCCUACUGCUAAAUGAAGACAGGCGCCCUGUGACUAUAAAUUACAAAACACAUCAGCUCCGGCUGAUGCACCGCAUGUCCCGCAGUCAGUUCUGCAGGGGACACUUGGCCACUGCCAAAGGGCAUUCCAGACAGUGGCUUUAACUCUUGUGGCAGCCACAGGAGAGAGGCCAAGCCUGUUGCUGGGCAGAGGAGCUCUUGGCAACUCCCAGAGGUUGCAAUUGCUCUGGACUGCUGAGCUCUGUAUAGACCAGGGCUUCUCACCCUCUGCACCAUUGACAUUUUGGACAACAUACUUCUUUGUUAGGGGCCAUCUGAGCAUUGUAGGUUUAGCAGCAUCUCUGUUAUCUACUCACUAGAUGCCAACAUAAUCCCCUGCCCCCCGCCCACCCACACACAUACACAGAAUUGUGACAACCAAAAACGCCUCCAGACAUUGUCAAAUGUCCCCUGGAAGGCAAAAUCGCCCUUGAUUGAGAACCACUGGUGUAGAGGAAAGAGGGUAGGGUCUGGGGUGAUGGCAGAGAGAGGAAGAUGCCAGUUCAGAAUCUCCAGGUGAGCUGUGAAGCCAGGCAAGUAACAGAAUCCUUUGGCCUCAGUUUCCUCAUCUCUAAAAUGAGAAGAAAGAGAAGGUCAAAUCAAGGGAGUAUGGCGAUCAGCUGAGCUAAUGUGUG
rnacentral:lncRNA from 1 species